rnacentral:rRNA from 1 species
AUUGAACGCUGGCGGCAUGCUUUACACAUGCAAGUCGAACGGUAACAGGCCGCAAGGUGCUGACGAGUGGCGAACGGGUGAGUAAUGCAUCGGAACGUGCCCAGUCGUGGGGGAUAACGCAGCGAAAGCUGUGCUAAUACCGCAUACGAUCUAUGGAUGAAAGCGGGGGACCGAAAGGCCUCGCGCGAUUGGAGCGGCCGAUGUCAGAUUAGCUAGUUGGUAGGGUAAAAGCCUACCAAGGCGACGAUCCAUAGCUGGUCUGAGAGGAUGAUCAGCCACACUGGGACUGAGACACGGCCCAGACUCCUAUGGGAGGCAGCAGUGGGGAAUAUUGGACAAUGGGCGAAAGCCUGAUCCAGCAAUGCCGCGUGAGUGAUGAAGGCCUUAGGGUUGUAAAGCUCUUUUACCCGGGAUGAUAAUGACAGUACCGGGAGAAUAAGCUCCGGCUAACUCCGUG